GAAGCUUGAACUCGCAAUAGCUUUGACUUCGCAUCGCCACUGAUAUCAAUUCAGCAACACGCGCCUCGAUGCAAGUGCGCAGCAAUGUUCCAGGCGCGAGCAGCGUGUGCUUUAUUUGUGUCUUUUCGACUUUUGUGCAGUUGACCAUGGCCCAAGUACGUAUAUACUAGGCAGAACUGUACAGUUGAGUGCUGAAAUUUAGAGCUGUGCUUCUGACUGCUAUUUGUGGUACGUUUGUUCGCCUUGCGGAGCGCUUACGGGAAUGUUCUGGAGGCAAUGUUUUGAUGGUUAAUUUUCGCACAUGUUUGUAUCGCUUGGUUUCCAGCGUUCCUCUUCAAGUGUCAGGGAUAUUUCUCAUUUGCAAUGCCUAUCUCUAAGUCUCUGGCAGCAUUAUGUUAUUGGCACUUUUGUGAUCUGAGAAGCUGCCUGACCAAGUUGCCUAUCAAGAUGAACAUUCCAUCUCUGGAUUCUGCUUGCGUGGAAUUUAUUUUACCAUAUAUUUUUCAAUGCAGCUAGAAAGUACUGGCUUUCUAUCUUGAAUCCGGUGGCCCCAGAAGCAGGUGCUGGCAAGCAGGCCAUGCACUUUUGGUCAUUAAUUAAUCCGCGUUUAACCUGUUUGUAUACAGCGAGAACAUGUAAUGAAUAAUUUCAUACAUGUGCGUGGCUGGAGGCCGAUCAUUUUUGUAAUAAAGCUUUAUCAGUUGUAUAAAUAAAAAAGUAACAUUGGUAUGACAUUGUGAGUUUCACUGGUGUGCUUUACCUAGUGCUUACUGAACUCACUAUUUUUCAUUUAUCCAUUGCAGGAUUUGUAAUGAUGCAUAAUGAUCAAAAUGCGGAUUUAUGGUUUUCUUAGCACAGUUUUCGCAUUUUGAUGAGCGCUAGAACUAUAUAUAAAAGUUGACAGUCACUUUAGCGAACACUGAAGAGGAUGAAGGCAGAAGCCUGCGCACUCACGAAGCAUUAAUUAAAUUAUUUGUCAUUCGCA